rnacentral:rRNA from 1 species
AGUCCACAUCGACGGGGAGGUUUGGCACCUCGAUGUCGGCUCAUCACAUCCUGGGGGUGUAGUAGGUACCAAGAGUUGGUCUGUUCGUCCAUUAGAGUGGUACGCGAGAUGGGUUCAGAAGGUCGUGGGACAGUUCGGUCCCUAUCCGUCGCAGGCGUAGGAAAUUGGAGAAGACCUGUCCUUAGUACGAGAGGACCGGGAUGGACGUACCUCUGGUGUACCAGUUGU